AGCACUUUUCGUGAUGAAAGUGCUGGCAUAUGUAAAUCCGACGUGCAUCCCAUGCACGGCCCGCAGUGGCUGGGGAUUAC
rnacentral:ncRNA from 1 species